UACGACCCUAUUUUCUAGAAAGAGAAAGAAAUGUCCUAAAAUCAAAAGCCCUAAAAAGGAAAGUGAAAAUUGCAAUCUGGAGGUCAUAAUCGGUCUUCAAUCUUCUAGCUGCUUAGAAUCGUCAAAUUUGGAGCUUGCAGUUGAAGAUUGAGCAUGGAAUUGAGUUCUCCAGUCAUUAUUCUUGAAGAUGCAGCUGAAGAGUCGAUGGCCAUAGCUUGUGAUUUCCAUAAGGAUGGUUUUGUUCUGUUGUUCCACCAAAGCUUACAGAAAAAUGUUGUAGACACAUCAUGUAAGGAUCUCAAGCCAAGCCCCGCUUCCUUUACAGGUAGACACAAGUUCUUCCAAGAAUACCAUUGCUUGUUCUUACCACCUACACAACUGCUCCAAAAGAACUGAGUAAACAACUUGUGUAAAUGAUCAAUCACAUUUUUGGGAGGAUUCACUGCAGGCAAUUGAUGUAUGGGAAUACUUUGUAACACAUGUUUUAUCAAUAGAACCAUUCUUUCAUAUGAUAAUAGUUUGCCUUUCCAAGCUUGUAGUUUGUUACUAACCUAAAUAAUCAUCUCUUUAUUGUA